UGACCCCACGCGGGAGAGUCCACCGGCACACCGCCGGCGGCGCCGAAGGAGCAAAUCCUCCCCGGAAUCUCUCAGGCACCCCGUACCGCAUGGGUGAG
rnacentral:ncRNA from 2 species